CAGCAGCCGCGGUAAUACGAAGGGGGCUAGCGUUGCUCGGAAUGACUGGGCGUAAAGGGCGCGUAGGCGGAUUGUACAGUCAGGCGUGAAAUUCCUGGGCUCAACCUGGGGACUGCGUUUGAGACGUGCGAUCUAGAGUUUGGAAGAGGGUCGUGGAAUUCCCAGUGUAGAGGUGAAAUUCGUAGAUAUUGGGAAGAACACCGGUGGCGAAGGCGGCGACCUGGUCCUUGACUGACGCUGAGGCGCGAAAGCGUGGGGAGCAAACAGGAUUAGAUACCCCAGUAGUCCCUGUCUCUUAUAC
rnacentral:rRNA from 1 species